rnacentral:rRNA from 1 species
UCGAACGCGAAAAUCCCGCAAGGGAUCAGUAGAGUGGCAAACGGGUGAGUAACGCGUGGGCGACCUACCUUCGAGUGGGGGAUAACCUUCCGAAAGGAGGGCUAAUACCGCAUGACAUCCUGCUUUUGGAUAAGUGGAGAUCAAAGCUGGGGAUCGCAAGACCUGGCGCUUGGAGAGGGGCCCGCGUCCGAUUAGCUAGUUGGUGAGGUAACGGCUCACCAAGGCUCCGAUCGGUAUCCGGCCUGAGAGGGCGGACGGACACACUGGGACUGAGACACGGCCCAGACUCCUACGGGAGGCAGCAGUGGGGAAUUGUUCGCAAUGGGCGCAAGCCUGACGACGCAACGCCGCGUGGAGGAUGAAGACCUUCGGGUCGUAAACUCCUUUCGACCAAAAUGAACACCUUUAGAUUUAAAAGAUCGAGAGGCUGACAGUAUUGGGAGAAGAAGCCCCGGCUAACUCCGUGCCAGCAGCCGCGGUAAUACGGGGGGGGCAAGCGUUGUUCGGAAUUACUGGGCGUAAAGGGUUCGUAGGUGGCCAACUAAGUCAGACGUGAAAUCCCUCAGCUUAACUGGGGAACUGCGUCUGAUACUGGUUGGCUUGAGUGCAGGAGAGGAAUGCGGAAUUCCAGGUGUAGCGGUGAAAUGCGUAGAUAUCUGGAGGAACACCGGUGGCGAAGGCGGCAUUCUGGACUGCAACUGACACUGAUGAACGAAAGCCAGGGGAGCAAACGGGAUUAGAUACCCCGGUAGUCCUGGCC